UCACAAGAGCCCUGCAGGCUCUGAAGUGGGAGCGGUAGAAAUUGCUUCUGAUGCGAUCCAGCUUUCCCCAUCCCCUACUAAAAGAAACGCUGAGGCUAGAUGCUACACUCACAGUGAGGAUUUUACAAGGAUUUUUAUUUGGAUAUUGCCACUUGGAAACAGAGAGGGAUCAGAUGUCAUUGUGGUUCACGGAGGAACUAAAUCAUAGAGGAAUGGCUGACAGCUGAGAUAUGGAAUUAUGGGAAAUACAGCUGUAACAUUACUGAAUUUCUAUAUAAAGGCCUCCGCAUAAACAGUCACUGAUGCUGGAACACGAGGGAACUUGCAGCUGCGCACGCACAUGUGCCAUCUGGGCAGAGCUUCCAGCACCUGUGGCCAGAAGCUGCAUGUGGCCACAAGACAUCGGUACUCACUGGGGAUUGCUGAUGUCAGGUAGCUGACAGCCCUUCAUUAGGCUUUGAAGGCAUAUACUGUAUGUAGAUGCAGUUUUCAUCUGUUCUGACUCUUCAUCUAAUGUGUCAGAAAAAUUACUCUAGAGCUUAGACAUAGAGGCAGUUAUUGCGCGAAAUAUCUUUACAAUAGACAAUAGUAAAUAAUAUUAAGAGAAAGAUGUGUAUGAUCACCCAACAUGUGCUACCAGCGCAGUACUAUCAGCUGUACAAUGCUUGCAUGUAUUCUGCUGCUGGGGAAGAAAGAUCUGCUUUCUUGUUAUAAAGUUUUGUUUAGAUGCAAAGACAAGUGAAGUGACAUGUUUUCUCUGAGCAUGUGUUCUCCUGGCCUGCACACAUUCACACGUGACAAAGCCCUGACCUAAAUAGAGCAGUCAACGUCUACGACUCAACAUUGUUCAGCGUAUAUUUUGAUUCCAUGCAAACUAUGAAACUUGAACCCUUGCAGAUGACACUGACAGGAUCUGCAAUCUCUUCUUGUUUGCUUAUUGCAGUACAGAGGGUACACAUGGGCACCUAAACAUUCACUCAGCAAUAAUAAUUAUUUGCAUUACUAUCUGUAACAGUAACAGAUUAAUGAGCAAACCUUUCUUUUGAGCGAUUCAAUAGAUCUUGA